rnacentral:rRNA from 1 species
UGGGGAAUAUUGGACAAUGGGCGAAAGCCUGAUCCAGCAAUGCCGCGUGAGUGAUGAAGGCCUUAGGGUUGUAAAGCUCUUUUACCAGGGAUGAUAAUGACAGUACCUGGAGAAUAAGCUCCGGCUAACUCCGUGCCAGCAGCCGCGGUAAUACGGAGGGAGCUAGCGUUGUUCGGAAUUACUGGGCGUAAAGCGUACGUAGGCGGUGACUCAAGUCAGAGGUGAAAGCCUGGAGCUCAACUCCAGAACUGCCUUUGAAACUAGGUCGCUAGAAUCACGGAGAGGUGAGUGGAAUUCCGAGUGUAGAGGUGAAAUUCGUAGAUAUUCGGAAGAACACCAGUGGCGAAGGCGGCUCACUGGACGUGUAUUGACGCUGAGGUACGAAAGCGUGGGGAGCAAACAGGAUUAGAUACCCACGUAGUCCCUGAGCGGGCUGGCAAGGCGCAU